AGGACGAACGCUGGCGGCGCGCUUAACACAUGCAAGUCGAGCGAGAACCGGGGCUUCGGCCCCGGGGACAGCGGCGAACGGGUGAGUAACACGUGGGUAAUCUGCCCUCGGCACCGGGAUAGCCCGGGGAAACUCGGAUUAAUACCGGAUAGCCCGCCCGCCUUUCGAGGCGGUCGGAAAAGGUAGCUUAGGCCUCUGGCCGAGGAUGAGCCCGCGGCGGAUUAGCUUGUUGGUGAGGUAAUGGCUCACCAAGGCGACGAUCCGUAGCUGGUCUGAGAGGACGAUCAGCCACACUGGGACUGAGACACGGCCCAGACUCCUACGGGAGGCAGCAGUGGGGAAUCUUGCGCAAUGGGCGAAAGCCUGACGCAGCGACGCCGCGUGCGGAAGAAGGCCUUCGGGUUGUAAACCGCUUUCGGAGGACGAAGCUACUCGGGUGAAUAGCCCAGAGGUGACGGUACCUCCAGAAGAAGCCCGGCUAACACGUGCCAGCAGCCGC
rnacentral:rRNA from 1 species